rnacentral:rRNA from 1 species
GGGUUGUGAGGUUAAGCGACUAAGCGUACACGGUGGAUGCCCUGGCAGUCAGAGGCGAUGAAGGGCGUGCUAAUCUGCGAUAAGCGCCGGUAAGGUGAUAUGAACCGUUAUAACCGGCGAUACCCGAAUGGGGAAACCCAGUGUGAUUCGUCACACUAUCAUUAACUGAAUCCAUAGGUUAAUGAGGCGAACCGGGGGAACUGAAACAUCUAAGUACCCCGAGGAAAAGAAAUCAACCGAGAUUCCCCCAGUAGCGGCGAGCGAACGGGGAGGAGCCCAGAGCCUGAAUCAGCAUGUGUGUUAGUGGAAGCGUCUGGAAAGGCGCGCGAUACAGGGUGACAGCCCCGUACACAAAAGCGCAUGUGCUGUGAGCUCGAUGAGUAGGGCGGGACACGUGGUAUCCUGUCUGAAUAUGGGGGGACCAUCCUCCAAGGCUAAAUACUCCUGACUGACCGAUAGUGAACCAGUACCGUGAGGGAAAGGCGAAAAGAACCCCGGCGAGGGGAGUGAAAAAGAACCUGAAACCGUGUACGUACAAGCAGUGGGANNNNNNGGCGUUAAGUUGCAGGGUAUAGACCCGAAACCCGGUGAUCUAGCCAUGGGCAGGUUGAAGGUUGGGUAACACUAACUGGAGGACCGAACCGACUAAUGUUGAAAAAUUAGCGGAUGACCUGUGGCUGGGGGUGAAAGGCCAAUCAAACCGGGAGAUAGCUGGUUCUCCCCGAAAGCUAUUUAGGUAGCGCCUCGUGAAUUCAUCUCCGGGGGUAGAGCACUGUUUCGGCUAGGGGGCCAUCCCGGCUUACCAACCCGAUGCAAACUGCGAAUACCGGAGAAUGUUAUCACGGGAGACACACGGCGGGUGCUAACGUCCGUCGUGAAGAGGGAAACAACCCAGACCGCCAGCUAAGGUCCCAAAGUCAUGGUUAAGUGGGAAACGAUGUGGGAAGGCCCAGACAGCCAGGAUGUUGGCUUAGAAGCAGCCAUCAUUUAAAGAAAGCGUAAUAGCUCACUGGUCGAGUCGGCCUGCGCGGAAGAUGUAACGGGGCUAAACCAUGCACCGAAGCUGCGGCAGCGACACUGUGUGUUGUUGGGUAGGGGAGCGUUCUGUAAGCCUGCGAAGGUGGCCUGUGAGGGUUGCUGGAGGUAUCAGAAGUGCGAAUGCUGACAUAAGUAACGAUAAAGCGGGUGAAAAGCCCGCUCGCCGGAAGACCAAGGGUUCCUGUCCAACGUUAAUCGGGGCAGGGUGAGUCGACCCCUAAGGCGAGGCCGAAAGGCGUAGUCGAUGGGAAACGGGUUAAUAUUCCCGUACUUGGUGUUACUGCGAAGGGGGGACGGAGAAGGCUAUGUUGGCCGGGCGACGGUUGUCCCGGUUUAAGCGUGUAGGUGUGUGUUCCAGGUAAAUCCGGUUCACUUUAACACUGAGGCGUGACGACGAGGCACUACGGUGCUGAAGCAACAAAUGCCCUGCUUCCAGGAAAAGCCUCUAAGCAUCAGGUAACAUCAAAUCGUACCCCAAACCGACACAGGUGGUCAGGUAGAGAAUACCAAGGCGCUUGAGAGAACUCGGGUGAAGGAACUAGGCAAAAUGGUGCCGUAACUUCGGGAGAAGGCACGCUGACACGUAGGUGAAGUGAUUUACUCAUGGAGCUGAAGUCAGUCGAAGAUACCAGCUGGCUGCAACUGUUUAUUAAAAACACAGCACUGUGCAAACACGAAAGUGGACGUAUACGGUGUGACGCCUGCCCGGUGCCGGAAGGUUAAUUGAUGGGGUCAGCGCAAGCGAAGCUCCUGAUCGAAGCCCCGGUAAACGGCGGCCGUAACUAUAACGGUCCUAAGGUAGCGAAAUUCCUUGUCGGGUAAGUUCCGACCUGCACGAAUGGCGUAAUGAUGGCCAGGCUGUCUCCACCCGAGACUCAGUGAAAUUGAACUCGCUGUGAAGAUGCAGUGUACCCGCGGCAAGACGGAAAGACCCCGUGAACCUUUACUAUAGCUUGACACUGAACAUUGAGCCUUGAUGUGUAGGAUAGGUGGGAGGCUUUGAAGUGUGGACGCCAGUCUGCAUGGAGCCGACCUUGAAAUACCACCCUUUAAUGUUUGAUGUUCUAACGUGGACCCGUUACCCGGGUUGCGGACAGUGUCUGGUGGGUAGUUUGACUGGGGCGGUCUCCUCCUAAAGAGUAACGGAGGAGCACGAAGGUUGGCUAAUCCUGGUCGGACAUCAGGAGGUUAGUGCAAUGGCAUAAGCCAGCUUGACUGCGAGCGUGACGGCGCGAGCAGGUGCGAAAGCAGGUCAUAGUGAUCCGGUGGUUCUGAAUGGAAGGGCCAUCGCUCAACGGAUAAAAGGUACUCCGGGGAUAACAGGCUGAUACCGCCCAAGAGUUCAUAUCGACGGCGGUGUUUGGCACCUCGAUGUCGGCUCAUCACAUCCUGGGGCUGAAGUAGGUCCCAAGGGUAUGGCUGUUCGCCAUUUAAAGUGGUACGCGAGCUGGGUUUAGAACGUCGUGAGACAGUUCGGUCCCUAUCUGCCGUGGGCGCUGGAGAACUGAGGGGGGCUGCUCCUAGUACGAGAGGACCGGAGUGGACGCAUCACUGGUGUUCGGGUUGUCAUGCCAAUGGCACUGCCCGGUAGCUAAAUGCGGAAGAGAUAAGUGCUGAAAGCAUCUAAGCACGAAACUUGCCCCGAGAUGAGUUCUCCCUGAGACUUAAAGUCUCCUGAAGGAACGUUGAAGACGACGACGUUGAUAGGCCGGGUGUGUAAGCGCAGCGAUGCGUUGAGCUAACCGGUACUAAUGAACCGUGAGGCUUAACCUUACAACGCCGAAG